rnacentral:rRNA from 1 species
UGGGGGAUAUUGCACAAUGGAGGAAACUCUGAUGCAGCAACGCCGCGUGAGGGAAGAAGGUUUUCGGAUUGUAAACCUCUGUCCUGGCUGAAGAAACGAAUGACGGUAGGCCAGGAGGAAGCUCCGGCUAACUACGUGCCAGCAGCCGCGGUAAUACGUAGGGAGCGAGCGUUAUCCGGAUUUACUGGGUGUAAAGGGUGCGUAGGCGGCUAUGUAAGUCAGGCGUGAAAUGCACGGGCUUAACCUAUGAACUGCGUUUGAAACUGUAUAGCUUGAGUCGAGUAGAGGCAGACGGAAUUUCCGGUGUAGCGGUGAAAUGCGUAGAGAUCGGAAGGAACACCAGUGGCGAAGGCGGUCUGCUGGGCUUGAACUGACGCUGAGGCACGAAAGCAUGGGGAGCAAACAGG